rnacentral:rRNA from 1 species
UGUGUAGGUGGAUUCCUAAGUGCCUUGUGAAAUCCCACGGCUCAACCGUGGAACUGCUUGGCAUACUGGGAGUCUUGAGCCAUCUAGGGGCAACUGGAACAGACGGUGGAGCGGUGAAAUGCGUAGAUAUCGUCUGGAACGCCAAUGGUGAAGACAGGUUGCUGGGGAUGUGCUGACACUGAGACACGAAAGCCAGGGGAGCAAACGGGAUUAGAUACCCCGGUAGUCCUGGCCCUAAACGAUGUCCACUAGAUCGUAGAACUUUUGACGGUUUUAUGGUCGAAGUAAAAAUGUUAAGUGGACCGCCUGGGAAGUACGGUCGCAAGGCUAAA